GAAGAAGCUCCGGCUAACUCCGUGCCAGCAGCCGCGGUAAUACGAAGGGGGCUAGCGUUGUUCGGAAUUACUGGGCGUAAAGGGCGCGUAGGCGGUUCUCUAAGUCAGGUGUGAAAUCUCCGGGCUCAACUCGGAGGCUGCCUUCGAAACUGGAGUGCUGGAGUAUGGGAGAGGUGAGUGGAAUUCCCGGUGUAGAGGUGAAAUGCGUAGAUAUUGGGAGGAACACCUGUGGCGAAGGCGGCUCACUGGACCGUUACUGACGCUGAGGCGCGAAAGCGUGGGGAGCAAACAGGAUUAGAUACCCUGGUAGUCCACGCCCUAAACGAUGAUUGCUUGGUGUGGGCGGU
rnacentral:rRNA from 1 species